AUGGCUAAUUUCUCUUGUAUGACUACAGGUGGCAGUGUAGAAGCCAGGAACAAAAAUUGGCAGAAAUUAUAUUCUGUGUACGAGAAAAUGAAGAGUGUACUCAUGACUAAGCACAGGAACCUGGAAAACCACAGGAUUCCUGGGAAGCCGUGGAGGAUGGGACAAACUCAGAGCUGGAGCUUGUGGAUUUUUUAGAACUCAUGAGUGGGAAAUUAUCCUGGCUUUAGUCAGGUGAUCGCUGAUGACUAGUCAGCCCACCAAGAAGGGAGUUCAGCACACAGGUAAGAGAGAAGCCGUGUCCUCUUCCAUGCAACUGGGGGAUGCGGGGUGGGGAGGUAAACAGCCCUAACAUUGUUUGCAUAGUUUAAAAAAAAAAAAAAAUACUCCUGACUUGCUUGGGUGCAUAACACUGUGAUUGUGUCUUAAAAUGCUGCUACUUUUGCUAUUCAGUCUUUUUCUUGCAUUUUUGUUUUUUAUUGUGUUUUGGUUUUUUUUUUUUUUCUUUUCUUUAAAUCUGUCUUUAAUUAGAAGCUUUAUUGGAAAAAAAAGACCAAUUGUGUGCUGCUAAAUAUAGUCCUGGGUAUUGCAUGAAUGUUGCAUUCUGCUACUUUUUGAAUAAAAUAACUUUCCAUAAUGCA
rnacentral:lncRNA from 1 species